GACGAACCGUCCUAACGUUGUUCGGAAUCACUGGGCUUAAAGGGCGCGUAGGCGGUCCGACAAGUCAGGGGUGAAAUCCUGCAGCUUAACUGUAGAAGUGCCUCUGAUACUGUCGGUCUUGAGGGAGAUAGGGGUGUGCGGAACUUCCAGUGGAGCGGUGAAAUGCGUUGAUAUUGGAAGGAACGCCGGAGGCGAAAGCGGCGCACUGGAUCUCUACUGACGCUGAGGCGCGAAAGCCAGGGGAGCAAACGGG
rnacentral:rRNA from 1 species